AUCCGUGUGGGCCGGGUUGUAGUUGACGAAGGUGAACCCCCGGCACUGGUCGAUGAUGUGGAACAGAGGGUUCCAGUCGAAAAGCGGCCUGCGAUCCGCCGGCAGCAUGUUGACGACGAACAUCUUGCCCGAGGCGAUCAUGUUCACGCGGCUG
rnacentral:ncRNA from 1 species